GAUGAACGCUGGCGGCGUGCCUAAUACAUGCAAGUCGAGCGAACGGACGAGAAGUUUGCUCCUCUGAUGUUAGCGGCGGACGGGUGAGUAACACGUGGAUAACCUACCUAUAAGACUGGGAUAACUUCGGGAAACCGGAGCUAAUACCGGAUAAUAUUUUGAACCGCAUGGUUCAAAAGUGAAAGACGGUCUUGCUGUCACUUAUAGAUGGAUCCGCGCUGCAUUAGCUAGUUGGUAAGGUAACGGCUUACCAAGGCAACGAUGCAUAGCCGACCUGAGAGGGUGAUCGGCCACACUGGAACUGAGACACGGUCCAGACUCCUACGGGAGGCAGCAGUAGGGAAUCUUACGCAAUGGGCGAAAGCCUGACAGAGCAACGCCGCGUGAGUGAUGAAGGUCUUCGGAUCGUAAAACUCUGUUAUUAGGGAAGAACAUAUGUGUAAGUAACUGUGCACAUCUUGACGGUACCUAAUCAGAAAGCCACGGCUAACUACGUG
rnacentral:rRNA from 1 species